GGCCUGGUGGUGUAAUGGUAAACACGUCUGCUUACAUUAAGUAUGAUAAGUGUUGGCAUUUUAGCAGAAGGUUCCUUGUUCGAAUCAAGGUCGGACCG